rnacentral:rRNA from 1 species
AACGAACGCUGGCGGCAUGCCUAACACAUGCAAGUCGAACGAGACCUUCGGGUCUAGUGGCGCACGGGUGCGUAACGCGUGGGAACCUGCCCUUAGGUUCGGAAUAACUCCCCGAAAGGGGUGCUAAUACCGGAUAAUGUCUUCGGACCAAAGAUUUAUCGCCUUUGGAUGGUCCCGCGUUGGAUUAGCUAGUUGGUAGGGUAAAAGCCUACCAAGGCGACGAUCCAUAGCUGGUCUGAGAGGAUGAUCAGCCACACUGGGACUGAGACACGGCCCAGACUCCUACGGGAGGGAGCAGUGGGGAAUAUUGGAAAGUGGGGGAAAGCAUGAUGCAGCAAUGAUGGGUGAGUGAUGAAGGCCUUAGGGUUGUAAAGCUCUUUUACCCGGGAUGAUAAUGACAGUACCGGGAGAAUAAGCUCCGGCUAACUCCGUG